rnacentral:lncRNA from 1 species
AGUCAUCUGGCAGCAGCUCGAGAAGCAUGUCCUCCACGCCGUCAAUCUGAGAGGCAGAGAGAGAGAGAAGGCAUUGAUCGGCCAGAGCCCUCCACUCCCUCCAUUCCUCACUCCUGCGCCUUCCCCUAGCUGGAAACAGCAGGUAGGAACCCAGGUGUGAGGAUUUCAGGGGCUCUUGGAGACUGCCCCUCCUCCCACCAGCCUUCAGCCUGUGACUGCCCACCAGAGAUGUCUUCCUGCGGCUAGCUGGUGGCUGGGAGGAAGUGGAGGCUGGAAUGCAAUGGUGUGAUCUUGGCUCACUGCGACCUCCACCUCCUGGGUUCAAGCGAUUCUCCUGCUUCUGCCUCCCGAGUAGCUGGGAUUACAGACAAAGAAUUCAAGACUAAACUGGGCAUGGUGACACGCACCUGUAGUCUCAGCUACUUGGGAGGCUGAGGCAGGAGAAUCACAUGAACCUGGCAGGCGGAGGUUGCAGUGAGCCGAGAUUGUGCCACUGCACUCCAGCCUGGCCACAGAGCGAGACUCCGUCUCAAAAAAAAAAAAAAAAGAAAAAAAGAAAAAAGAAGAAGUCAAGACUAAGAAGAGUGAAGUAUGAAGUAAUUCACCCACAGACACCCAGCUAGUGAGUGGCAGACCUGGAAGACAAACUAGUUCUGUUUGGCAUCAGAAUCUAUGCUGUCAGCCACCUCACCACAUUCAUG